rnacentral:rRNA from 1 species
UACGAAGGUGGCAAGCGUUGUUCGGAUUUACUGGGCGUACAGGGAGCGUAGGCGGUUGGGUAAGCCCUCCGUGAAAUCUCCGGGCCUAACCCGGAAAGUGCGGAGGGGACUGCUCGGCUAGAGGAUGGGAGAGGAGCGCGGAAUUCCCGGUGUAGCGGUGAAAUGCGUAGAUAUCUGGAGGAACACCGGUGGCGAAGGCGGCAUCCUGGACCAACACUGACACUGAUGAGCGAAAGCCAGGGGAGCAAACGGG